UCUCCGUUGGUGAACCAGCGGAGGGAUCAUUACUGAGUGAGGGCCUUCGGGCUCGACCUCCAACCCUUUGUGAACCAAACUUGUUGCUUCGGGGGCGACCCUGCCGCUUCGGCGGUGCGGCGCCCCCGGAGGCCUUCAAACACUGCAUCUUUGCGUCGGAGUUUAAGUAAAUUAAACAAAACUUUCAACAACGGAUCUCUUGGUUCUGGCAUCGAUGAAGAACGCAGC
rnacentral:misc_RNA from 1 species